GGCCGCCGGCCCCGCCCCCUCCCCGUACGGGGACAACUGGGGAAGCUUCAGCACCGACUCGGCGUCGUCAAGAAGCAGGCCGGGUUGCCAGAUAAGGAACACCUUUGAAAGAGCUGAAGUCACUCGCCCGAUGUCCACAGCUCGUAAGCGGCAGAGUCAGGACUCGAACGCAGGACUUAGCAGCAGACCAGACACGCUCCCAGGAGGCGCCCAAGCACAUUUUUAGGGAGGAACCGCCAGGCUCACCGUGCCAUCACCCUCCCAAAACAAAGCAUAUUGAUAGCAAAUUAAAUACCACUGAAUUAGCCACAACACUUACAUAAAGCUAUAGUUUCAAAAUAUUCCAGGUCAUGAAAAGCUUCCAAUAUCAACGACAACAACAACAACAACAAAAAGCCACCUACUUCAAUUUCCCACCAAACACUCCCACAAAUAAACAAUUUCUGAUAAAACUGA